GAAGUAGUUUAGCAAGAAUAUCAGCUUUGGGUGCUGAUGGUGGAGGUUAAACCUCCCUUCUUGA
rnacentral:tRNA from 1 species